rnacentral:rRNA from 1 species
GACGAACGCUGGCGGCGUGCCUAACACAUGCAAGUCGAACGGGGUAGAGAGCUUCGGUUUUCUACUUAGUGGCGAACGGGUGAGUAACGCGUGAGAAACCUGCCUUUCAGUGGGGGACAACAGUUGGAAACGACUGCUAAUACCGCAUAAUGUAUUCGGGGGGCAUCCCUUGAAUACCAAAGCUUUAUGUGCUGAAAGAUGGUCUCGCGUCUGAUUAGCUAGAUGGCGGGGUAACGGCCCACCAUGGCGACGAUCAGUAGCCGGUCUGAGAGGAUGAACGGCCACAUUGGGACUGAGAUACGGCCCAGACUCCUACGGGAGGCAGCAGUGGGGAAUAUUGGGCAAUGGGGGAAACCCUGACCCAGCAACGCCGCGUGAAGGAAGAAGGCCUUCGGGUUGUAAACUUCUUUUAGCAGGGACGAAGAACGUGACGGUACCUGCAGAAAAGCAACGGCUAACUACGUGCCAGCAGCCGCGGUAACAC